rnacentral:rRNA from 1 species
GGAACACCAGUGGCGAAAGCGGCUCUCUGGGGAACACCUGACGCUGAGGCGCGAAAGCAUGGGUAGCAAACCGGAUUAGAUACCCGGGUAGUCCAUGCCAUAAACGAUGGAUACUGAGUAUGGGGGGUAUCGACCCCUUCUGUGCUGAAGCUAACGCGUUAAGUAUCCCGCCUGGGAACUACGGUCGCAAGACUAAAACUCAAAGGAAUUGACGGGGCCCCGCACAAGCAGCGGAGCGUGUGGUUUAAUUCGAUGGUAAGCGAAGAACCUUACCAGGGUUUGACAUGUAAGUAGUACUGAACCGAAAGGGGAUGGACCCGCAAGGGAGCUUACACAGGUGUUGCAUGGUUGUCGUCAGCUCGUGCCGUGAGGUGUUGGGUUAAGUCCCGCAACGAGCGCAACCCUCUUUGUUAGUUGCACUCUCUAACGAUACUGCCCUUAAAAGGGAGGAAGGUGGGGAUGACGUCAAAUCAUCAUGGCUCUUACACCCUGGGCUACACACACGCUACAAUGGCAAGUACAGACGGUUGCCAACCCGCGAGGGGGAGCUAAUCCGAUAAAACUUGUCUCAGUUGGGAUUAUAGGCUGAAAUUCGCCUAUAUGAACGUGGAGUUGCUAGUAAACGCAGGUCAGCACACUGCGUUGAAUACGUUCCCGGUCCUUGUACACACCGCCCGUCACGUCAUGGAAGUUGGUAACACUUGAAGUCAUUGCGCUAACCCUUUGGGAGGCAGAUGCCGAGAGUGGGACUGAUGACUGGGACGAAGUCGUAACAAGGUAGCUGUACCGGAAGGUGCGGCUGGAUCACCUCCUUUCUAAGGA